rnacentral:rRNA from 1 species
CCUACGGGCGGCAGCAGUGAGGAAUAUUGGUCAAUGGACGAGAGUCUGAACCAGCCAAGUAGCGUGAAGGAUGACUGCCCUAUGGGUUGUAAACUUCUUUUAUAUGGGAAUAAAAUGUUCCACGUGUGGGAUUUUGUAUGUACCAUAUGCAUAAGGAUCGGCUAACUCCGUGCCAGCAGCCGCGGUAAUACGGAGGAUCCGAGCGUUAUCCGGAUUUAUUGGGUUUAAAGGGAGCGUAGGUGGAUUGUUAAGUCAGUUGUGAAAGUUUGCGGCUCAACCGUAAAAUUGCAGUUGAAACUGGCAGUCUUGAGUACAGUAGAGGUGGGCGGAAUUCGUGGUGUAGCGGUGAAAUGCUUAGAUAUCACGAAGAACUCCGAUUGCGAAGGCAGUUCACUGGACUGCAACUGACACUGAGGCUCGAAAGUGUGGGUAUCAAACAGGAUUAGAUACCCCUGUAGUC